rnacentral:rRNA from 1 species
CUAGUGGCAAACGGGUGAGUAAUAUACAAGAAUCUGCUUAGUAGUGGGGGAUAACAUUUCUAACGAGAUGCUAAUACCGCAUAAGCCCGAGAGGGGAAAGAUUUAUCGCUAUUAAAUGAUUUUGUACCAGAUUAGCUUGUUGGGGAGGUAACGGCUCACCAAGGCGAUGAUCUGUAGCUGAUCUGAGAGGAUGAUCGGCCACACUGGGACUGAGAUACGGCCCAGACUCC